UACGGAGGAUGCAAGCGUUAUCCGGAAUUAUUGGGCGUAAAGCGUCCGCAGGUGGUUAUCCAAGUCUGCUGUUAAAGCGCGAGGCUUAACUUCGUACAGGCAGUGGAAACUGGGUGACUGGAGUAUGGUAGGGGUAGCGGGAGUUCCCAGUGUAGCGGUGAAAUGCGUAGAUAUUGGGAAGAACACCAGCGGCGAAAGCGCGCUACUGGGCCAUUACUGACACUCAUGGACGAAAGCUAGGGGAGCGAAAGGG
rnacentral:rRNA from 1 species